rnacentral:rRNA from 1 species
CAUGCAAGUCGAGGGGCAGCAUGGUCUUAGCUUGCUAAGGCCGAUGGCGACCGGCGCACGGGUGAGUAACACGUAUCCAACCUGCCGUCUACUCUUGGACAGCCUUCUGAAAGGAAGAUUAAUACAAGAUGGCAUCAUGAGUCCGCAUGUUCACAUGAUUAAAGGUAUUCCGGUAGACGAUGGGGAUGCGUUCCAUUAGAUAGUAGGCGGGGUAACGGCCCACCUAGUCUUCGAUGGAUAGGGGUUCUGAGAGGAAGGUCCCCCACAUUGGAACUGAGACACGGUCCAAACUCCUACGGGAGGCAGCAGUGAGGAAUAUUGGUCAAUGGGCGAGAGCCUGAACCAGCCAAGUAGCGUGAAGGAUGACUGCCCUAUGGGUUGUAAACUUCUUUUAUAAAGGAAUAAAGUCGGGUAUGNAUACCCGUUUGCAUGUNCUUUAUGAAUAAGGAUCGGCUAACUCCGUGCCAGCAGCCGCGGUAAUACGGAGGAUCCGAGCGUUAUCCGGAUUUAUUGGGUUUAAAGGGAGCGUAGAUGGAUGUUUAAGUCAGUUGUGAAAGUUUGCGGCUCAACCGUAAAAUUGCAGUUGAUACUGGAUAUCUUGAGUGCAGUUGAGGCAGGCGGAAUUCGUGGUGUAGCGGUGAAAUGCUUAGAUAUCACGAAGAACUCCGAUUGCGAAGGCAGCCUGCUAAGCUGCAACUGACAUUGAGGCUCGAAAGUGUGGGUAUCAAACAGGAUUAGAUACCCUGGUAGUCCACACGGUAAACGAUGAAUACUCGCUGUUUGCGAUAUACGGCAAGCGGCCAAGCGAAAGCGUUAAGUAUUCCACCUGGGGAGUACGCCGGCAACGGUGAAACUCAAAGGAAUUGACGGGGGGCCCGCACAAGCGGAGGAACAUGUGGUUUAAUUCGAUGAUACGCGAGGAACCUUACCCGGGCUUAAAUUGCAGAUGAAUUACGGUGAAAGCCGUAAGCCGCAAGGCAUCUGUGAAGGUGCUGCAUGGUUGUCGUCAGCUCGUGCCGUGAGGUGUCGGCUUAAGUGCCAUAACGAGCGCAACCCUUGUUGUCAGUUACUAACAGGUUCCGCUGAGGACUCUGACAAGACUGCCAUCGUAAGAUGUGAGGAAGGUGGGGAUGACGUCAAAUCAGCACGGCCCUUACGUCCGGGGCUACACACGUGUUACAAUGGGGGGUACAGAGGGCCGCUACCACGCGAGUGGAUGCCAAUCCCAAAAACCUCUCUCAGUUCGGACUGGAGUCUGCAACCCGACUCCACGAAGCUGGAUUCGCUAGUAAUCGCGCAUCAGCCACGGCGCGGUGAAUACGUUCCCGGGCCUUGUACACACCGCCCGUCAAGCCAUGGGAGCCGGGGGUACCUGAAGUGCGUAACC